AAAGGCUUAAAGAUGAGAUGAUUGAUUGAGAUUGUGAGUAAGGCUAAUGCUAGGCGAGGAGACAGAGUUGAGGAUCCAGUGGUCGAGGAGUGUUCAGGAAAGUUGAUGAGGUUGGUGCAAGCUGGAAUAGUUGACAGUGAUUCUUCUUAUCGAAGAUGAUCUGAUUUGGUAAGAGAUGUUGUGUAAUAAUAGUGGUAGAUUCUAAUUUCAAUACUGUAACCUGGAUGCGAUCCUGUUGUUUUGGGGGGUUUAAAUGUUCUCUUUUAAAUCUUUUAUUUAACGUCUUUCAAAUCUUUUAUUAAAUGUUUUCAAGUUUUAAAUCUUUUGGAUUUUCAUUAUCUUUAAAAAAAAAAAAAAAAAUACAGGUUUUCAAGGGUGUUUUUAAAAGGUUUUGUGUGGUGACGUCAGAAUCCAGGCCCCCGGAUUCCUGGACUGUCACAGUUGGUAUCAGAGCAACAGGUUAUAAGUAUUUGAAAUUAGAAUAUAGAUCCUAGUUAUAGGUUUUCUAGAGAAGAAUGUGGUGUAACCUCACAUAGAGGUAUGGUCGGACUAUUUAGGAAUAGUCUAGAAAUGUGAGUGAAGCAUAGAGUUUAGUUAGAUGAUCAAGUUAAGUGGGGAUAUUUAAAGAGAUUAGGAUUCUUAAGUUUAGACGUAUGAUUUCUAGUAUGUUGAUUAAUUGAGAUAGUGAAUUGUGGAAAAGGUCAGUAUUAGACCUAUAUAGAAGAGUUUGAUAGUAAAUGAUUGAGUUGAGAAUGGUGAAAAUGCAGAGUUCAGAGUAUUCUGACUAUACUGCAUAGUUAAAAAUGGUCUAUGGUAUUGAUUUGAGAAUGAUAAAGAUGCAUGGUUCAUAGUAUGUUGACCAUGUCAGAUAUUUGGAAAAGGUAUAUUGUUUUAGUGAGAUGUGAAGAGUUACUGUAAGAUAUGAGUUGUACUGAAUUAGAAGGAGAGAUUUGUAGAUAGAGGUUGAUAGAUGAGAAGUGCAUGAUAGAGAGUAUGUGGAAUUGAGUCCAGUUAUUAGAGAUGAUGUCUACGAGUCAAUUAGAACGUUAGUCCUCGACGACAACGCUUCAAGUUAAUCGGGAUUUCAAAUGGCAUCAAGGUGGGCCCAUAACCCACAGGUUGAUGAUCCAGACAAUCGAAGAUACGUUACGUGUUUGUGCUAUGGAUUUCAAAGGCAACUGGGAUAAAGAAGAAGAAUGUAAACUACUUGGGCCAGAGUUAUUACGGACGAUAACGUCUACGAUGACAUCUUACGAGACUAUUACGAGUCAAAUCGAUUGAUUGUCGAGAACGUUGAAAGGAUAACAUAAAUUGAAUAACGAUUUCGUAAAGUAGAGUGGGAAUUUGAGAAGACCUUGGCAAUAUCUCUCUUCAACUAAAAAUUCUUUUGAUUGUUUUCUCAUCAGUGAGAUAUUAUCAUGAUAUCUUUUCUAUAAAAGUUUUGAUAAAUGAGAUCUUCAAUUUCUCAAAUUCUAAGAUGAUAAUGAUAUUGAUUAUUGGUGUGAGUUAGUAUUGAAUCGGUGUAUGAUAAAGGCGUGUUUAUGAAGAGACAGUGGAAUUCCUUGAUAUUCUUUCAUCAUCCUUGAUAUUCCUUGAUGUUCUUUGAUAUUCUCGAGAUUCUUUGACAUUCGUUGAUAUUCCUUGACCAAUGGUGAAAAUGCAGAGUUCAGAGUAUUCUGACUAUACUGCAUAGUUAAAAAUGGUCUAUGGUAUUGAUUUGAGAAUGAUAAAGAUGCAUGGUUCAUAGUAUGUUGACCAUGUCAGAUAUUUGGAAAAGGUAUAUUGUUUUAGUGAGAUGUGAAGAGUUACUGUAAGAUAUGAGUUGUACUGAAUUAGAAGGAGAGAUUUGUAGAUAGAGGUUGAUAGAUGAGAAGUGCAUGAUAGAGAGUAUGUGGAAUUGAGUCCAGUUAUUAGAGAUGAUGUCUACGAGUAAGUUAGAACGUUAGUCCUCGACGACAACGCUUCGAGCUAAUCGGGAUUUCAAAUGGCAUCAAGGUGGGCCCAUAACCCACAGGUUGAUGAUCCAGACAAUCGAAGAUACGUUACGUGUUUGUGCUAUGGAUUUCAAAGGCAACUGGGAUAAAGAAGAAGAAUGUAAACUACUUGGGCCAGAGUUAUUACGGACGAUAACGUCUACGAUGACAUCUUACGAGACUAUUACGAGUCAAAUCGAUUGAUUGUCGAGAACGUUGAAAGGAUAACAUAAAUUGAAUAACGAUUUCGUAAAGUAGAGUGGGAAUUUGAGAAGACCUUGGCAAUAUCUCUCUUCAACUAAAAAUUCUUUUGAUUGUUUUCUCAUCAGUGAGAUAUUAUCAUGAUAUCUUUUCUAUAAAAGUUUUGAUAAAUGAGAUCUUCAAUUUCUCAAAUUCUAAGAUGAUAAUGAUAUUGAUUAUUGGUGUGAGUUAGUAUUGAAUCGGUGUAUGAUAAAGGCGUGUUAUGAAGAGACAGUGGAAUUCCUUGAUAUUAUUGAUAUUCUGUGAUAUCCCUUGAUAUUCUUCCAUAUUCUUUGAUAUCCCUUAAUAUUCGUUGAUAUUCGUUGACAUUCUUUGACACUCUUUGAUAUUCCUUGAUAUCUUUUCGAUAUUCCUUAAUAUAUUCCUCGAUAAUCCUUAACAUUCCUUGAUGCUCCUUGAGAUUUCUUGGAUUCUUUCCAUCUGAUUGGGAUGAACAACCCUAUGUAUAGGGGACACAAGGUAUACCUGUCUGUGUGAUAGGAGUUGGAUGGGACGCCAUCACUUGUGUGUGUUGUGAUUACAAGAAGGUUAAAAACCUUUAGUAGUGUCUAAUAUGGACACGCAACAUGAAGUUCAUUUGAUCGUAUUGAUCUCCCAGUCACUCUUGUAUUCCAAUGUGACCUAUUUUGAAAAUAUCUUGUUCCUCCGAAAUUCCCAAAGAUUGAUUCUUGGGAAAUGAAGUUUGCAAUUGUGAAGGUUUUGAUUCUCCUAUUUCUUUAACUUUGAAGGGUAUGCCAAAGUUGAGCAAAGGCGGACGAGCAUGUGAUAUUAUGAAGCGUGUACAAUGAUCUUAUAAAUGAUACGUUUUAGUUCUCAUCGCGGAUUCUGAGGACAGAAUCCUUAUAAGGGGGUGGAAUGUAAUAUCCCAUAUUAUUAAAUUUAGAUUUGAUUAUUAUAAAUCUAUUUGUCUAGAUAUUAUUGUUGUCUGUAGUUGAAUAUUGAUGUGAUUAUGUGAAAUAGUUGUAUGUGAUUAUACUUGUUUCAUGGAUUAAUAUGGAUUUUACAGAUUUUUCGUCCUCCUUCUUUCUUUGAUUCCGAGGACGGAAUCCCUAUAAGGAGGGUAGAUUGUAAUGACCCGGAUUUUUAAAAAUUUUUAUUAGUAUUAAAAGUGAUUUUCUUUAAAGAAGGGUCGAUAAUCCCUAAUAUUCUUGAUGCUCCUUGAGAUUUCUUGGAUUCUUUCCAUCUGAUUGGGAUGAACAACCCUAUGUAUAGGGGACACAAGGUAUACCUGUCUGUGUGAUAGGAGUUGGAUGGGACGCCAUCACUUGUGUGUGUUGUGAUUACAAGAAGGUUAACAACCUUUAGUAGUGUCUAAUAUGGACACGCAACAUUAAGUUCAUUUGAUCGUAUUGAUCUCCCAGUCAUUCUUGUAUUCCAAUGUCACCUAUUUUGAAAACAUCUUGUUCUAUUCGAAAAUUCCCAAAGAUCGAUUCUUGGGAAAUGAAUUUUGCAAUCGCGAAAGUGUGAUUUUCCUUUUCCAUUAAAGUCAAAGGUAUGCCAAGAUCAAUCGAAGGUGGAUGACGAUAUGAUAUUACGAAGUGUGUACGUUUUAGUUUCUUCGGAGGAUUCCGAGGACGGAAUCCUUAUAAGGGGGGUAGAAUGUAAUAUCCCAUAUUAUUAAAUUUAGAUUUGAUUAUUAUAAAUCUAUUUGUCUAAAUAUUAUUGUUGGCUUUAGUUGAAAAGUGAAUUGAUUAUGUGAAUAGUUUUAUGUGAUUAUACUUGUUAUGUGGAUUAAUAUGGAUUUUACAGAUUAUGCGUCCUCCUUCUUUCUCUGAUUCCGAGGACGGAAUCCCUAUAAGGAGGGUAGAUUGUAAUAACCCGGAUUUUAAAAAUAUUUUUAUUAAUAUUAUAAAUGAUUUUCUUAAAAAGAAAGGAAUAAGAUUUAAUAUUUUAUUCCAGUUUAAUGAGUUUUCAAGGUUUUAUAUUUAAACCCCGGGUUAUUGUGUUAUUGAUAAAUAAUUGUAUUUUCAAAACUGAUUUUCAUAUAUUGUUUUGAAAAUUCUGUAUGAAUAUUAUGUGAAUAUAUGUGUUAUGUGAUUAAGUGGUAUUGGUGGAUUUGUUGGUUAAUUAAUUAUGGUUAAUUAUGAGUAUUAUAUGAUUAAUAUAUGAAUUUUUGUGAAUUUUAUAUUAUCUGGUUUAUUGCGUUAACUGCUCAUAUGUGUUCGUAUUUGAGAGAUUUCAAUUUCUAUAUGCUCAGGAGAAAAUAUAGUUUAUUUGGAUAUUUUCAUAUCGAUUUAUGGAAUGUUAGAUGAUUUUAUAAUCGAUUUACGGAUUUAAUUGUGUAUAUUUAUAUUUAUUUAUUAAUUAUUUGACUUCCGUAAAACCGUCCACUCGUAACGAGGUACCAAAUUUUCUUCCCGGAAGUUUCAACAAAACUCACCUUUAGCCUAAUUUGAAUAUUCCGGACAUUUUUCGUGUUUUGACUUUUUCGAUCCGGAGUACGGUUUUCCCCGGAGUCGGUCCGGCGGAGUUUUUCGGGUAUUGUAAUUGUUGAUAAUUAUCCAGUUUGUCUCGAUAAACGUGAAACGAGAUAUUUUCUUCAUCCUUAUCUUGUCAUAAUUGCCAUGGGACCCGCAGACCAAUAAUUGAGUUAAAAAGCCCCGUUUUGAUGAUUAUCUCGAAAACCAGUAUCGAUUGGACCCCGCUUUAUUAAUAUAAAGCUACUAAAUAUGUAUUUUCAUGUCAUAAACGAUCCAAAGGGGUACCAAUUAUUUGUAAAUAUAAAUAUAUCUUUCUAGAGCUUAUUUUCACCGUAGAAAUCAUUUCACCAGUUUCUCUGCACGAAUACCGAGAGAAACCGAGCGGUGUUCUUCGUGUUCUUCAUAAUCAAACGUGGAUUUGAAGGCGUUAUUGGAGUCAGAAUCAAGCGUGCGAAUAGUCAAAUCGAAGAUAUCGAAGAGUAGAACCCAGAUCAAUCAUCAAAAACAACAUGAGAUUCACAGGUAGGGAGUAAUUGAAGGUUUAAAAUUCGAAGUACUAUGAUUUGAAUAGUGAAUUUUUGCAAACGAUGUUGUUUGAUUGUUUUGAUGAUUCCAUGUUGUAGAGCAUCUUCUGCCAUUCGUUUUCAUAUAUCAUAUGUUAGAUUUUGAGUCCAGUAACAUGCUCAAAUAUGUGUUUGAUUCUUCGAAAUUGUAAACUAGGGUUCUUGAGCGAGUUUGAAUGUUUCAAAUUGGGUUUGGGGGUUUCUUAUCCUGUAAAUCUGGGCUGUUUUUGUUGGAAUCAUCGUGUAGAGCUUGAAGAGGGGAAUCGUUUGAUGAUAAGAAGGUGUGUGGAGGAAGCCAGGAGCGUCCCCGCCGGAGCUGCGAAGCUAGCCGGCGGUGAGCCCUGUUCUUCAUCGUUUUCCGGCCAUAAUCGGCCGCCUUUAAUGAUUUUGAGUGUAUAUAUGUGAUGCUAGGAGUGUGUGUAACUGGUCUGGAGGUUCUGGGGUCGAACGGCGGUCUGCAACGCCGUUUCCGGCGAGUCGGGGCGCCGGCGGUAUCAAAUUACCGUUUGGUACCCUGGCUUUUGGAAACAGUGAAGUUUUAGUAUUCUCGUUUCUGUUUUAGCAAGACAGACCCUAAACUUUUCAGAGUUUACACUUUAAACCCUGGACAAAACUUUCAAAAGUUUACACUUUAAACCUUUUGAAUUUAAUUGUCAAAAAUUGUUUUAUUUAAUUAUUUUAAAUUCCAAAAAUAGUUUUUAAUUAUUUAUUUAUUCAAAAAUAAAUCUAAAUUAGUUUAUUAAUUACUUUUAAUUAGUAAUUAAUUAUUUUAAUUGGUCAAUUAAUUUAAAUAUUAAUUGAUUAAUUAUUUUAAUUAAUUAUUAAUUGAUUUUAAUUGAUUAAUUAAUUGGAUUUAAUUAUUCUUUUUGAUUUAAAAAUUCUGAAAAAUAGUUUCGAGCUUUGAAAUAUUUUUCUAAAUUAUGUUCAAGGCUCGACAAUUGUUUAUGAAUGAUUUCAAGUCCAAUUUCAAGUAUUUGGGACUUGAUUAUUUAUCCGAAAAGUGAUUCUUUUAUCGAUUUUAAUUCCGAAAAAUGUUUAAAAAUUCCAGAAAAUUCCCGAAAAAUCAUUUUUAACCCAAGACUUGAUUUAAUAUCAAUUGGGAUGGGAAACCUUAUGUGUUGUGUGUUGUCUGCUAUUGGUUGGAUGUGUUAUGUGCCGAUAGGAGAGUGAGAAAACUGUUUUGAGCAUAACUUUUGAUCCGUAAGUCGGAAUCAAGUGAAACGAAAGAGAGACAGAAGCUUAUAACGUCUAUUUUAAUAUGAUGUGACUAUAUGGCUGAGUCUAUAAGGUGAAUAAUUGUUGAUAAGUAUGCAUAAUGUGAUAAUAUGUGAUCUAAGUGCUAUCAAGUGAUGAUUAUGUGAAGUACGUGUUAGUUUUGAUAUUGUGAAGUGAUAAAUGAUUCGUAUGAUUGAUAUUGGAUAAGAAUAUAUGGAUUAUAGUUAUUGGAUUUUGUUGGUUGAUUAAUGAUUGAGAUAGGAUAAUAGGUGGAUAGUCUUAUACAUAGACGAGACGAUGUCGGAUUUUCGAUAAGGAUUUAUAUGAUAAUUGAUUGGUGAUAUGUUAUGUGGAAUAUGAUUGACUAUAUGUUAGAGUCAAAGCAUGCUUAUGUGUUACGUGGUAUCUGAUAAGUUUAAAGGGAUAUAUAAGUGGGUAUCGGUAUACGUGAUAUGUAUAUGCGAUAUAUUGUUUAGUGACUAUAGUAUUAUCUUAUUCUCGUAAAGGAUUUGGACGAGACGUGUACGCUCGAAGACGUCAGGAAGUCGAAAUGGUAUUGCAAAGCGAAUAAGGGAUGAAUCGAGUAAGCGAAGCGAUGUGGCGAAUAGAGUAUAGCUAGAGAUGGUCUAGAGAUUACGAGAUGCAUAGAUUGUGAAAGUUGAAAGAUGAGAUUGAGCUGUGAAACUGGAGUCAGAUUUAAGGCAAGUAUCCUAAACCCUUCUCUUGGAUAUAUUGCAAAUAUUCUGAUCCAUUCCUUUGGUAUAUGUUUCAAGUAUUCAUACCUUUCUUUUCAAUGUUCGAAAGUGCGAGUAUUCUGACCCAUUCUUUCUAAUCUUCAAGUUUCUAAAGAAUUUCCGUUUUACAAAUUAAUUCGAAGUUCAGAUUGUCAUUGAAGCAUGUGUUGCUCAGUGAUAGUUAGAGCUUUGAAUGAAUUGGGAUCUUCUUGAUUAUUCAACCCGCCAUUGUCAUGCUGGUUUAGCAGGCUAAAUUCAGUUGCUUAGCCGAUAAUGGAGGAUACUGAAUAGUUGAGGAUUUCCUGAACUGUGAUUUAUGAAAUGAUGGAUCAUGAUUUAUGAAUAGAUUAUUAUCAAAGUUUGAAUUGGAAUUAUUCUGUUGUUGAUGAUAUUUAUGAUGAUGUUCUGUUAAUUUACAUUGGCUUCUUGAAUUGAAUUAGAGAAUUGGAUUAUUGUUUUUAUAUAAACCUGUGGACCAGAUUCGUGGUCAUGUUAGGCCAAUGAGUGCCUUGGAUCCAGUGAUAGAGCAUGGCGGGGCCUGCUCGGGGUUAGUGCGGAACUGAUCAGCUGCCUAACCUUGGUUUUAAUUAAAAUGUGAUAGUCCAAUUCAAUAAUUCUUUGGAAAGAUUGAAUUUCUCAGUUUAAAUGCUGCAAGGUAUUGUAAAUCAUUCUAUACAAUACCAUGAACUCAUGAACUCAGGUUGAAUCCUCUUAUAUCUUGAACUCGUGAACUUCUGUUAUAUCAUUUCAGAACUAUCAUUGUUUAUUAUUACUUGCUGAGCAUUGUUGCUCACCCUUGCUAUUCCUUUCUAACCAUUUCAGAAAGGCUUAAAGAUGAGAUGAUUGAUUGAGAUUGUGAGUAAGGCCAAUGCUAGGCGAGGAGACAGAGUUGAGGAUCCAGUGGUCGAAGAGUGUUCAGGAAAGUUGAUGAGGCUGGUGCAAGCUGGAAUAGUUGACAGUGAUUCUUCUUAUCGAAGAUGAUCUGAUUUGGUAAGAGAUGUUGUGUAAUAAUAGUGGUAGAUUCUAAUUUCAAUACUGUAACCUGGAUGCGAUCCUGUUGUUUUGGGG
rnacentral:lncRNA from 1 species